rnacentral:tRNA from 1 species
ACGGAUAUGAUGAAACUGGUAGACGUAUUAGAUUUAGGUUCUAAAGAUUUUUUAAUCAUGGGGGUUCGAGUCCCUCUAUCCGUA